AAGUGCGUGACGCUCGUCAGUGGCUUCAGUUCACACGUGGCGCCAGCGGAGGCAGGUUGCGGUGCUUGUGCUUCCUUCUACAGCCAACAUGAAAAGGCCUAAGUUAAAGAAAGCAAGUAAACGCAUGACCUGCCAUAAGCGGUAUAAAAUCCAAAAAAAGGUUCGAGAACAUCAUCGAAAAUUAAGGAAGGAGGCUAAAAAGCGGGGUCACAAGAAGCCUAGGAAAGACCCAGGAGUUCCAAACAGUGCUCCCUUUAAGGAGGCUCUUCUUAGGGAAGCUGAGCUAAGGAAAGAGAGGCUUGAAGAACUAAAACAGCAGCAGAAACUUGACAGGCAGAAGGAACUAGAAAAGAAAAGAAAACUUGAAACUAAUCCUGAUAUUAAGCCAUCAAAUGUGGAACCUAUGGAAAAGGAGUUUGGGCUUUGCAAAACUGAGAACAAAGCCAAGUCGGGCAAACAGAAUUCAAAGAAGCUGUACUGCCAAGAACUUAAAAAGUUCUGGUCAUUUUUUCCUUGAUAGGUGAUUGAAGCCU
rnacentral:sRNA from 1 species